UUCCCUGGUCCAGUCCACCCUGGCGGGGUCGCAGGGUCGGGAUGGCGGCUGGAGGCGAUCAUGGUUCGCCCGACAGCUAUCGCUCACCUCUUGCCUCCCGCUAUGCCAGCCCAGAGAUGUGCUUCGUGUUUAGCGACAGGUAUAAAUUCCGGACAUGGCGGCAGCUGUGGCUGUGGCUGGCGGAGGCCGAGCAGACAUUGGGUUUGCCUAUCACAGAUGAACAAAUCCAGGAGAUGAAAUCAAACCUGGACAACAUCGACUUCAAGAUGGCAGCUGAGGAAGAGAAACAUUUACGACAUGAUGUGAUGGCUCACGUGCACACAUUUGGCCACUGCUGUCCAAAAGCUGCAGGCAUUAUUCACCUUGGUGCCACUUCUUGCUAUGUUGGAGACAAUACUGUAGGCACCUGUGUUGUUUAUACUUAAAACUCAGUCUCUAGAAUCUAUUUGUCAAUUUUAUUUGAUGUUUUCCAGUUGAGAGAGUGACAUUAUAGAUUUUUUUUGGAGACAGAGUCUCCCUCUAUCUCCCAGGCUGGAGUGCAGUGGCAUGACUCACUGCAAGCUCCACCUCCUGGGUUCACGCCAUUCUCCUGCCUCAGCCUCCUGAGUAGCUGGGACUACAGGCACCGGUCACCACACCCGGCUAAUUUUUUUGUAUUUUUUUAGUAGAGACGGGGUUU
rnacentral:sRNA from 1 species